GUGGGGGAAUAUUGCACAAUGGGCGAAAGCCUGAUGCAGCAACGCCGCGUGAGUGAUGAAGGUCUUCGGAUUGUAAAGCUCUGUCUUUUGGGACGAUAAUGACGGUACCAAAGGAGGAAGCCACGGCUAACUGCGUGCCAGCAGCCGCGGUAAUACGUAGGUGGCGAGCGUUGUCCGGAUUUACUGGGCGUAAAGGGUGCGUAGGCGGAUGUU
rnacentral:rRNA from 1 species